rnacentral:rRNA from 1 species
UACGUGGGGUGCAAGCGUUGUUCGGAAUUACUGGGCGUAAAGCGUGCGCAGGCGGUUUUGUAAGUUUGUCGUGAAAGCCCCGGGCUCAACCUGGGAAUUGCGAUGAAGACUGCAAGGCUUGAAUCUGGCAGAGGGGGGUAGAAUUCCACGUGUAGCAGUGAAAUGCGUAGAGAUCGGGAGGAACACCAGAGGCGAAGGCGGCGACCUGGACAGGCACUGACACUCAACUACGAAAGCGUGGGGAGCAAACAGG